UGAGGAAUAUUGGUCAAUGGGCGGGAGCCUGAACCAGCCAAGUCGCGUGAGGGAAGACGGCCCUACGGGUUGUAAACCUCUUUUGUCGGGGAGCAAGAAAGGGUAUGCAUACCUCACUGAGAGUACCGAAGCAAAAGACAAUCGGCUAACUGCCGUAGCCAGCCAGCCGCGGCUAAUAGCAGGAGGAGUGCGAGCGUUAUCCGGAUUUAUUGGGUUUAAAGGGUGCGCAGGCUGUCUGUCAAGUCAGCGGUAAAAUAGCGGGGCUCAACCCCGUCGAGCCGUUGAAACUGACAGGCUAGAGUGAGCGAGAAGUAUGCGGAAUGCGUGGUGUAGCGGUGAAAUGCAUAGAUAUCACGCAGAACUCCGAUUGCGAAGGCAGCAUACCGGCGCUCAACUGACGCUCAGGCACGAAAGCGUGGGUAUCGAACAGGAUUAGAUACC
rnacentral:rRNA from 1 species